rnacentral:rRNA from 1 species
AGAGCUCAAAUUUAUAAUCUGGCACCUUCGGUGUCCGAGUUGUAAUCUCUAGAAAUGUUUUCCGCGUUGGACCGCACACAAGUCUGUUGGAAUACAGCGGCAUAGUGGUGAGACCCCCGUAUAUGGUGCGGACGCCCAGCGCUUUGUGAUACAUUUUCGAAGAGUCGAGUUGUUUGGGAAUGCAGCUCAAAUUGGGUGGUAAAUUCCAUCUAAAGCUAAAUAUUGGCGAGAGACCGAUAGCGAACAAGUACCGUGAGGGAAAGAUGAAAAGCACUUUGGAAAGAGAGUUAACAGUACGUGAAAUUGUUGGAAGGGAAACGCUUGAAGUCAGACUUGCUUGCCGAGCAAUCGGUUUGCAGGCCAGCAUCAGUUUUCCGGGAUGGAUAAUGGUAGAGAGAAGGUAGCAGUUUCGGCUGUGUUAUAGCUCUCUGCUGGAUACAUCUUGGG